GCUCCACGCCUGGAGUAAUGGACAUCUCAUCUAAGCGUCCGGAUGUUGGGCAGCGGAAUAUGCAUUCGCUGGAGGGUUUUGUAACCAGUGGUGCCAGCAGUAAAUUUAACCUUUGCCUUAUUAGGUCCUCCACAGUCGCCCCAUCAGUCCCUGGCGGUCUGGUCCCUGGCGGUCUGGUCCCUGGCGGUCUGGUCCCUGGAGCAGCUGGCCCUGGAGCAGAUGGUCCUGGCAAAGUUAUAACUUCACUGUUGACCCCUGACUGACUGGCCCUCGGCACACACAUCCCUGGAUCACCUGCCCCUGGAUCACCUGCCACUGAAUCACCUGCCACUGGCAAUGUGGCCUCUUGAUUUCUCUCUCUGUCUCCUGGCAUGUCCCUUUCGAUGCUCUUAAAAUCCACCUCAAUUUCUCCCUCAAUCUCUGUAAAAAUUACAAGGUAAUGUUGCUGUUAUAUGUAUUUUGCCUUUGCAUUUGCAACUACUGUCAUCUCCAAUGUAGGAAAUGAAUUGAAGCGAAACAUUUCUGUAAUGUGAAUUAAAUCAUCUGCCACAAUCAGAAACCAAUAAAAUGUAUUAAUGGAUCUACCGGCAAAUAGUGUCUUAUCUACAUUGUGUGCAAAUCCUCAGAGAAUCCCUGCCUUCUGGUUGUGUUCUAAACUGAAUGUACAAAUAUGAAUUGGGUAAUCUCAUUCGGAGUGUAGUCUAUCCUUGAAUUACAUGAAAUGGGGAAUAUUGUUAGCUGCAUGGAUCAUACCGAAGUUUAAUUUGGUGCAAUAUGUGUGGUCCGUUGCACUUAUAUCCGGAGGCACCCUCACAGAAGGGGGUUUCCUCCUCUUCGGUUUAGGGCGAUGGAUGAAAAUUGUUGGGACGGCAUCGGGCCUCAACUUCAACAUCCCAACUACUUUUGUGGCUUUGAAUUGGUCAUUUUCAAAGUGUACCUGUAGGUAGGCUUGUAAGAUCAGUUUCCAUUGCGCUUCAAAUAUCAUUGGAAAUUUGGAAAGUCAUAAUUCUCUACACUUACAAUUAUUAUGCCCUUUCAAAUCCUAGCAAGUGAUCUGAACAUUACUUACGUUACAUAGUUUGACUGUUGCUGACUGUCAGUAAGUUUUGACGGCUGACCAUUGCCAUCCAUUUUUUCCUGCGCUCUUGGUCCUUGGGGAAGCCGUACAUGUGGUAACCCUUCUCGGACCGAUUGGAGCAUCCACAUGCUGCACAGCCAACCAUGGUAUGACCAUUUAUCUUUAAAAUGUUAGUUGUAACCAAUGAAUCAUGACACCAUUGAAGAUCACUCACACUAAUUGUUUAAUAAGAAAAAUACAAUUUCAUUCAUCCAAGCGUAAUGAGUUGUUAUUCUUUAAUAUAUUUGAUACUUUGUGUGGCUUAUAUCUUUGAAUGAUCAU
rnacentral:lncRNA from 1 species